rnacentral:rRNA from 1 species
CCUACGGGAGGCAGCAGUAAGGAAUCUUCCGCAAUGGGCGAAAGCCUGACGGAGCAACGCCGCGUGGGCGAUGAAGGCCUUCGGGUCGUAAAGCCCUUUUCUGUGGGACGAUAAUGACGGUACCACAGGAAUAAGCCACGGCUAACUACGUGCCAGCAGCCGCGGUAAUACGUAGGUGGCUAGCGUUAUCCGGAAUCACUGGGCGUAAAGGGCGCCUAGGCGGCCUUGCAUGUCUGGGGUGAAAUCCCUCGGCUCAACUGGGGGAGGUCCUCGGAAACUGUAAGGCUGGGGCCCAGGAGAGGGGAGCGGAACUUCUAGAGUAGCGGUGAAAUGCGCAGAUACUAGAAGGUCCCUCGAUAGCGAAGGCAGCUCCCUGGUCUGGUGCCGACGCUGACGCGCGAAAGCGUGGGGAGCAAACCGGAUUAGAUACCCGGGUAGU